AUCCUCCGGCAAGGAAGAUACCAUAAUCCUGAAGGUGGUUUUCCCAGGGUGAGGCUCAUCCAUUGCACUCUGGGGGUGCUGACCCCUACAAUUUCCCCAAAUGAGGGAAACUCGACUGCAUAAUUUGUGGUAGUGGGGGACUGCGUUCGUGCUUCCCUGU